GACGAACGCUGGCGGCGUGCUUAACACAUGCAAGUCGAACGGAAAGGCCCUGCUUUUGUGGGGUGCUCGAGUGGCGAACGGGUGAGUAACACGUGAGUAACCUGCCCUUGACUUUGGGAUAACUUCAGGAAACUGGGGCUAAUACCGGAUAGGAGCUCCUGCUGCAUGGUGGGGGUUGGAAAGUUUCGGCGGUAUGGGAUAGACUCGCGGCUUAUGAGCUUGUUGGUGGGGUAGUUGCUUACCAAGGGUUUGACGGGUAGCCGGCCUGAGAGGGUGACCGGCCACAUUGGGACUGAGAUACGGCCCAGACUCCUACGGGAGGCAGCAGUGGGGAAUAUUGCACAAUGGGCGGAAGCCUGAUGCAGCAACGCCGCGUGCGGGAUGACGGCCUUCGGGUUGUAAACCGCUUUCGCCUGUGACGAAGCGUGAGUGACGGUAAUGGGUAAAGAAGCAACGGCUAACUACGUG
rnacentral:rRNA from 1 species